rnacentral:tRNA from 1 species
GUCAUCGGUUCAAUCCGAUAAAGGGCU